rnacentral:rRNA from 1 species
AUUGAACGCUGGCGGCAGGCUUAACACAUGCAAGUCGAGCGGGGUGAUGGUGCUUGCACUAUCACUUAGCGGCGGACGGGUGAGUAAUGCUUAGGAAUCUGCCUAUUAGUGGGGGACAACAUCUCGAAAGGGAUGCUAAUACCGCAUACGUCCUACGGGAGAAAGCAGGGGAUCACUUGUGACCUUGCGCUAAUAGAUGAGCCUAAGUCGGAUCAGCUAGUUGGUGGAGUAAAGGCCUACCAAGGCGACGAUCUGUAGCGGGUCUGAGAGGAUGAUCCGCCACACUGGGACUGAGACACGGCCCAGACUCCUACGGGAGGCAGCAGUGGGGAAUAUUGGACAAUGGGGGGAACCCUGAUCCAGCCAUGCCGCGUGUGUGAAGAAGGCCUUAUGGUUGUAAAGCACUUUAAGCGAGGAGGAGGCUCUUUUGGUUAAUACCCAAGAUGAGUGGACGUUACUCGCAGAAUAAGCACCGGCUAACUCUGUGCCAGCAGCCGCGGUAA